rnacentral:rRNA from 1 species
AUGAACGCUGGCGGCGUGCCUAAUACAUGCAAGUCGAGCGAACAGACGAGGAGCUUGCUCCUCUGACGUUAGCGGCGGACGGGUGAGUAACACGUGGAUAACCUACCUAUAAGACUGGGAUAACUUCGGGAAACCGGAGCUAAUACCGGAUAAUAUAUUGAACCGCAUGGUUCAAUAGUGAAAGACGGUUUUGCUGUCACUUAUAGAUGGAUCCGCGCCGCAUUAGCUAGUUGGUAAGGUAACGGCUUACCAAGGCAACGAUGCGUAGCCGACCUGAGAGGGUGAUCGGCCACACUGGAACUGAGACACGGUCCCGACUCCUAAGGGAGGCCGCAGUAGGGAAUCUUACGCAAUGGGCGAAAGCCUGAAGGAGCAACGCCGCGUGAGUGAUGAAGGUCUUCGGAUCGUAAAACUCUGUUAUUAGGGAAGAACAAAUGUGUAAGUAACUAUGCACGUCUUGACGGUACCUAAUCAGAAAGCCACGGCUAACUACGUG